rnacentral:rRNA from 1 species
UACGAAGGGGGGCGAGCGUUGUUCGGAAUUAUUGGGCGUAAAGGGUGCGUAGGCGGUUUGGUAAGUCUUAUGUGAAAUCUACAGGCUCAACUUGUAGUCUGCAUGAGAAACUGCCGGGCUUGAGUAUGGGAGAGGUGAGUGGAAUUCCUGGUGUAGCGGUGAAAUGCGUAGAUAUCAGGAGGAACACCUGUGGCGAAAGCGGCUCACUGGACCAUAACUGACGCUGAUGCACGAAAGCUAGGGGAGCAAACAGG